CAGCUGCUUCGGAUGGGCACUCUAAGGAGACUGCCGGUGACAAACCGGAGGAAGGUGGGGAUGACGUCAAGUCAUCAUGGCCCUUAUGGCUAGGGCUACACACGUCAUACAAUGGCCGGUACAAAGGGUUGCCAACCCGCGAGGGGGAGCCAAUCCCAUAAAACCGGUCGUAGUCCGGAUUGCAGUCUGCAACUCGACUGCAUGAAGUCGGAAUCGCUAGUAAUCGCGAU
rnacentral:rRNA from 1 species